rnacentral:rRNA from 1 species
GACGAACGCUGGCGGCGUGCUUAACACAUGCAAGUCGAACGAAGUGGCGUACGGGUGAGUAACGCGUAUUCAACCUGCCCUUCAGUGGGGGCCAACAGUUGGAAACGACUGCUAAUCCCGCAUAAUGAAGUAGGGGUGGGCGUCUGAUUAGAUAGUUGGAGGGGUAACGGCCAACCAAGGCGAUGAUCAGUAGCCGGUGUGAUAGGAGGAACGGCCACAUUGGGACUGAGACACGGCCCAGACUCCUACGGGAGGCAGCAGUGGGGAAUUUUCUGAAAUGGACGAAAGUCUGACGGAGCAACGCGGCGUGAGUGAGGACGGCCUUUGGGUUGUAAAGCUCUUUUAAUCGGGAAGCGUUACCGGAAGAGAAAGCCACGGCUAACUACGUGCCAGCCGCCGCGGUAAUAC